AUCCAAGCGGCUUUCCAGGGUGGCCAGGCGGGCCUCCAGCUCCUCGUGCUGAGCGUGCAGCUCCGAUACAAGGUCGUACAUGACGGUCUGGGUCUGCGGGAGACAGAGAGGGGCAGGAGAGAGGCGCCGCUGAGUGAGAGAGGAAAGGACGAUACCACGACACCAAUGACAGAGAGGGACAGCCCACACGCUCCAGACCCCAUCAUCUGCCUCCCUCUGAAGAUCCUCCCAUCCACCCAGCUCAGAAGAUGCAGGCCCCAACCAACUGACCACCCGUCCCUGGCAGGGAGCCGUGAAGAGGCCACACAGAGCUGCGAGGGCUGCCUCCGCGCCAUGUGGACACAGAAACGUGAGCUGGAAAGGUGCUGGACUUACUGAUGGAUGGCUUGGAGGAACUUACGCUGGUGUUUCCGAACCCGGGCUUGGUCUGGCUUCUUCACCAGCCUGGUAUGUUUGUAGAUGAGCCACGUCUCCCUGAGAACGUUAGCAGCGGCGUUUUUUACCUGGGGCCAGAAAAAGAACAAUUCCUCAGGGUUGGCGCGAAAUUCCAAAAGGCUCCAGAAAUGUCUAGAAUCUUCCAGAAACCUCUAGAAACUUCUGGAAAUGCCUCUCAGGGUCCCUGGGCUAUAAGGCAGGGCCAUGCUUGUACAACAACAUCUGUGCAGUGUGUGUAUACCUAACACACAUCACUCAUGAUGGGCCAGGCCCCUUC
rnacentral:lncRNA from 10 species